rnacentral:rRNA from 1 species
ACACUCCUACGGGAGGCAGCAGUGGGGAAUUUUGGACAAUGGGCGAAAGCCUGAUCCAGCAAUGCCGCGUGUGUGAAGAAGGCCUUCGGGUUGUAAAGCACUUUUGUCCGGAAAGAAAUCCUUGGCUCUAAUACAGUCGGGGGAUGACGGUACCGGAAGAAUAAGCACCGGCUAACUACGUGCCAGCAGCCGCGGUAAUACGUAGGGUGCGAGCGUUAAUCGGAAUUACUGGGCGUAAAGCGUGCGCAGGCGGUUUGCUAAGACCGAUGUGAAAUCCCCGGGCUCAACCUGGGAACUGCAUUGGUGACUGGCAGGCCAGAGUAUGGCAGAGGGGGGUAGAAUUCCACGUGUAGCAGUGAAAUGCGUAGAGAUGUGGAGGAAUACCGAUGGCGAAGGCAGCCCCCUGGGCCAAUACUGACGCUCAUGCACGAAAGCGUGGGGAGCAAACAGGAUUAGAUACCCUGGUAGUCCCA